AGGUUACUCAGGUGCUCUCCAAACAGAUAGGAAGGCAUGGCCCUGGGGCCCCACUCAGAGCUCCCAUUCUGAAGACUCAACAACAACAGGAAGGAAAGGACCAGGGUAACAGGGUUCAGAGAAAAGCAUUGUCUGGGCUGAGAACUUAUGGAAAGUUGUCCCUUUGGGAGAACUCCUCCUGCAUAGCCAGUUCCCUGCCAUUUGGCAGUCCUUGGCAAGACAUCUCCAGGAGUCUGGCAUGUGGGAACUGAUGUUAAGGCAACUCCCCAAGGAGCCUGCCAACCCCGGCCCACAUUAAGGGCUGCACGCUGAGGCUCCAGGGCACAAUCUCUAGUCAAGUCUCCAGAGACCACUUGCAAAGGAGACAUGAAAGACAUA